GACGAACGCUGGCGGCGUGCUUAACACAUGCAAGUCGAACGAAGAAGCCCAGCUUGCUGGGUGGAAGAGUGGCGAACGGGUGAGUAACACGUGAGUAACCUGCCCUGAACUCUGGGAUAAGCACUGGAAACGGUGUCUAAUACUGGAUACGACCUAUCACCGCAUGGUGUGUGGGUGGAAAGAUUUAUCGGUUCUGGAUGGACUCGCGGCCUAUCAGCUAGAUGGUGAGGUAAUGGCUCACCAUGGCGACGACGGGUAGCCGGCCUGAGAGGGUGACCGGCCACACUGGGACUGAGACACGGCCCAGACUCCUACGGGAGGCAGCAGUGGGGAAUAUUGCACAAUGGGCGCAAGCCUGAUGCAGCAACGCCGCGUGAGGGAUGACGGCCUUCGGGUUGUAAACCUCUUUUAGUAGGGAAGAAGCGAAAGUGACGGUACCUGCAGAAAAAGCACCGGCUAACUACGUG
rnacentral:rRNA from 1 species